AUUUGUUAAAUGAAUGAAUGAAAGGAGGCUUCAGUUUCAGGGUCUUCUCCCCCUGCCCAUACAUCCUUAUCAUCUGAGCCUGAGAUCUUAAGAAAUAAGAAUCCAGGGUCUCCCUGAAUUAUUGGACUGGUAUAAUAAUGUUUUAGACUACCCAGAAAGUCAGUCUCAUCCUGAACUAAGGGGCUUCAACCUAGGCUAGAGAGUGACCUAGUUCCAGUGAAGGCUAGUGCCUCUUACCCUCUUCUUCUCUGCAAAAAGAGGAAAGAGAAUUCACAUUUCUGUAGCACUUUCACAACAACCCUGGGAUACCAUAUAAGUAUCAAUAUCAACACUUUACAGAGAAAGAAAUCCAAAGAUUUAUCUCACGCCAGGCUACAUGGUUAGUAAGAGUCAGAACCGUGGCUCCGAGUCCAGUCUUCUUACCACUGCUCCACUUUAAAAUUUCCUAUAACAUUCCUUUCCAAAAUUUAUCCCCCUCCUCACACACACCCUCAGCUUUGCCCGAUUACAAUGAACUGAACGAGGAAAAGGUGGUGUUUAGGAGAAUUUGCCCUUUUUAAAGAUGUUCCUAUUCAGGUUCUGGGUUCAUGAAUAAUGUCAUAAGGUCAAUGCUACUUGGGGGUCUUUGUGGUGCUCUAUGGGAUUAAGCCAGAUUCCUUGGCUCUCCCAGUGAUCCUGCCCCAGGUAGAAUAGGUUUUUUUCUCCACAUCAAUCAGCAUUUCUCUCUUUUGACUCUCCCUUUCUGCCUACGGAUCCUAGUCAAUGGACUAUGACCAUGGAAACCAAGGAUGCUUCCUUACUCCCCACCUUUUGAACCAGGAUAUAAGGAGCAAAUGGUGAGCAGUGCAAGGGUCUCUAAGCAAGGAAAAGAUAUGGGCAAGUUUAUUAUUUGCUUAAAGCCCUACCCUAAACCCCCUUGUGUCUGCAGAGGCAGCUGUGGCUCAAUGAGUUAAGAGCCCUGGACCUGGAGUCAGGAAGACCUGAGUUCAAAUCCAGACCCAGUCACUUCAUAGCUGUGGCAAGUCAUUUAAUUUCUGUAUGCCUACGAGGUAGUUCAGUGAAUAGAAUGCUGGGCCUGGAAUCAGGAAGACCUGAGUUCAAAUUUGACCUCAGACACUUCCUAGCUGUGUGAACCCUCUGAUUACCUGACAAAAAGGAUCCACUGGAGAAGGAAAUGGCAAACCACUCCAGUAUCCUUACCAAGAAAACUCUAUGGAAAGUUUAUGGUCCAUGAGGUGGAAGAGUCAGGUGUGACAUAACAAUAACAACAGACCCCCCCCCCCCACUAUGACUCAUCUCAGGGGGGUGAAAGUCACUUGGUGGGAAAGCCAGGGAAGACAAUGAGUGUCUGAUGACCAGCCAGCUAGAUCUCUAUACCUCAAUAUCAUUAUUCUCCUGGUUCCUCAGAGGGGACUAGAUGCUAUCAAAUCAUCACAAUCCUGCAGGCAAAGGAAACCAUCCAGGGGUUGUUGUAGGAUUAGCCAUAAUUGAUCCUAAGGGUGGGUAGCACACGGACCAAAGACAGAGGAGGAGGGGGUGUUUGAAGAGCCUGAAGACUCCAAAUGUCAAGAGAUUUUGCUGAAAGGCAGCCUCAGGAAGCUGGAACCUUCUAAGGAAAGAGGACAAAGGACAAUUGGACCAGGGCCUUCUACUGCUAGAUUCUGAUAUAUUCCCCCAAUUCCCUGACAACUCCCCCAAGAUUCUAUGAAGCACACAGUCCAUUAUCUCCUAAAGGAAUGCCCUCUACUUCCUAUUAUUUUGCCUACUAAGGAACAAUGAAUUGGAGAGAAGAGUGAUAUAUUCAGAAAUGAAGGUGAUAUAAAAACAAAAGAAAUCAAUAAAGUCAAGCAUUUAAUAAAGAAAUGGAAAAAUGUUGCUUUUUGGGUAAUCUUAAAGGAGAUGUGGCCACAUAUCAGGCUGGCUUCCAAUUGUCUUCCCUAUACUAUGUUCAUGGAAAAGCUGCCUGGGCUUGAAGUUACAACUGCAAUUUGCAGCUCCAAAUGGCUUUUCACCUCCUUGCCUUAAAAUGACACUGUCCUCCGAUAUAACCUCUCUCCCAUAGCUUGCCUUCUUCUGUCAGACUGGUCCUUUUACUAAACCCCUGCUGUUCUAGCAAUAUAACCUUUUAAUUAUAUUUUCGUAUGUCCUGACAUUGUCUUUUCAGCCUGUCUGGGCAUCUUAUCCCCUUGGUAGAUUCUUUACUCUUGGUUAGGGCAAUGUCCAUUUGGUGAAUGAAGAGAAUCUGAAAUGUUGAUGCCUCAGGAAUCUUUCUAUUCCUUCCUCCUUUUCUGCCUGUCUUUGAUUGUUCUAUCUCUAAUAAAUGAAUCGACAAGCACUUAUUAAACACUUACUAUAUGCCAGGCACUGUGUUAAGUGCCAAAGAUAAAAAGAAAAAAGGAAAAACACUUCCUGCUCUCAAAAAGCUUCCAACCUAACAGGCAAGAGGACAGACACAUGUAUAAAUCGGGACAUCAAAGAUACACACAGAGUAGAUGGAAACUAAUCUGAAAGGGAAAGGUUCUGUCUGGCAGUUUAGCCUUUUUUGUGUCAUAGACCCUUUUGGCAGUCUGAUGAAGCUUAUAGACUUCACAGAAUGAUAUUUUUAAAUGUAUAUAAUAAAAUACAUAUGAUUUUAAAGGAAACUAGUUAUACAGAAUUAAAAAUGUAACUUUCCCCAUGUACAUUUACAGACCCCUUGAAAUCUAUCUGUGGAAGCCAGGUUGAGAAGUGCUACUCUAGCAGCUGGAAGCACAGAGUGGGUAUGAGGGUGAUGAGGAACCAGGAAGUGUUUCCUGCAAAAGAUGGCACUUGAUUUGAAUCUAGAAGGAAGUCAGGGAUUCUAAGAGCAGAGGGGAGGAGGGAGACAAUUCCCAAUAUGGGAGGCAGUCACUGGGAAGUUUGAGGCAGGAACUGCAACAUUGAGGGAGAAGAACAUCAAGUAGGGUGGUAUGGCAAUAUCAUGGCAUGUACAGAGGUAAGUAAUGGUAAAGAGGUAAAGACUGGAAACAAGAGACAAGUUAUGAAGAGCUCUAUGGCAAUGCUAAGGGGCAAAUGACAAUAAUAACAAUAUCUAGAAAUUACAUAAAAUAACAAUAUCCAGAAAUUACAUAAAAUUCCUUUAAAAAAUCCUUGCUUUCCAUCUUAGAAUCAAUACUGUGCAUUGGUUCCAAGGCAAAAGAGUGGUGAGGGCAAGGCAAUGGGGGUUAAAUGACUUGCCCCGGGUCACACAAGCUAGAAAGUGUA